rnacentral:lncRNA from 1 species
UGAGGAAGAGAGCUAUGGGAAAUGACAUAUAUAUAGAGAAAUUUUCGAGUUGGGUAGUUGAAAUAUAACAACGAUUUUACAAGGAAUGUUUUACAUGGUUUUAACAUAAUAUUUACAACGACUUUACGACGAAAUUAGGUAAGCUAAAGCACAUUGAAUACACAUUUUCACCUAAAUAUAACGGUAACAUGUUUCGUUGUAAUGUCGAUGUAAUGAUUACGACGUAUUUCUCAUUCC